rnacentral:rRNA from 1 species
UACAGAGGUCUCAAGCGUUGUUCGGAAUUACUGGGCGUAAAGCGCGUGUAGGCGGUUGCCCAAGUCGGGUGUGAAAGCCUUGAGCUCAACUCAAGAAAUGCACUCGGUACUGGGUGACUAGAGGACCGGAGAGGAUAGUGGAAUUCCCAGUGUAGUGGUGAAAUACGUAGAGAUUGGGAAGAACACCAGUGGCGAAAGGCGGCUAUCUGGGACGGUUUCUGACGCUAAGACGGCGAAAGCGAUGGGAGCAAGCAGGAGUAAGCAUGAUCCGGAUGUAACGUACCG